ACAUGCAGAGAACUUUCCAGAGAUGGAUUGGUGGCCUUCGGGAACUCUGACACAGGUGCUGCAUGGCUGUCGUCAGCUCGUGUCGUGAGAUGUUGGGUUAAGUCCCGUAACGAGCGCAACCCUUGUCCUUAGUUACCAGCACGUUAUGGUGGGCACUCUAAGGAGACUGGCCGGUGACAAACCGGAGGAAGGUGGGAUGACGUCAAGUCAUCAUGGCCCUUACGGCCUGGGCUACACACGUGCUACAAUGGUCGGUACAAAGGGUUGCCAAGCCGCGAGGUGGAGCUAAUCCCAUAAAACCGAUCGUAGUCCGGAUCGCAGUCUGCAACUCGACUGCGUGAAGUCGGAAUCGCUAGUAAUCGUGAAUCAGAAUGUCACGGUGAAUACGUUCCCGGGCCUU
rnacentral:rRNA from 1 species